rnacentral:rRNA from 1 species
CCUACGGGAGGCAGCAGUGAGGAAUAUUGGUCAAUGGGCGCAAGUCUGAACCAGCCAAGCCGCGUGAAGGAUGACGGCCUUCUGGUUUGUAAACUCCUUUUAUAAAGGAGUAAACUGAGGUUCGUGUCUCGCGUUGCAAGUACUGUAUGUAUAAGGAUCGGCUCACUCCGUGCCAUCAGCCGCGGUAAUACGUAGGAUCCGAGCGUUAUCCGGAUUGAUUGGGUUUAAAGGGAACGUAGGCGGUGUGUUAAGUUAGUUGUGAAAUUUCGGGGCUCAACCCGAGAAUGGCAUUUGAUACUGGGAGACUAGAGUGCAGUAGAGGUAGGCGGAAUGCAUGGUGUAGCGGUGAAAUGCUUAGAGAUCAUGAAGAACACCAAUGGCGAAGGCAGCUUACUGAACUAUAACUGACGUUGAGGCGCGAAAGCGUGGGUAGCAAACAGGAUUAGAUACCCGAGUAGUC